GACAGAGGGUGCAAACGUUGUUCGGAAUUACUGGGCGUAAAGCGCGUGUAGGCGGCCCUGCAAGUCGGAUGUGAAAUCCCACGGCUCAACCGUGGAAGUGCAUUCGAAACUGCAGGGCUAGAGUCCUGGAGAGGAAGGUGGAAUGCUUGGUGUAGAGGUGAAAUUCGUAGAUAUCAGGAGGAACACCUGUGGUGUAGACAGCUUACUGGACCAUUUCUGACGCUGAGACACGAAAGCGUGGGUAGCAAACAGG
rnacentral:rRNA from 1 species